UCAGGUCGGGACCAGCACUCCUGGCAGGGAGCUGUAAAAGGGCAGGAAUCCGCCCCCUGGGAGGCCGCCUAACUGAGGGGGGAAUCACCCAGGAAGGAGGGGGAGCCCCAAAGCCUCGGAGAAAAGCGCGGCAGCGGGGCUGAGGAGAGCAAAGCAGAGAGAGAGCGGCUCAGAGCACCACCGCCGGGGGCUCGCGGUGGGACCUGGGCGCUGAGACAGGGCUUCGGAGGUCAGUGGUGCUUCCUGCAGAGAAGGCAUUAAAAUGUCUCAGGUCCGAGUACAUGACUUCUUUCAGUUAAAAUAGGUUCAGCUACAAUGUGCAGAUGGUUUGUAAGAAGACAGAAGUUGGCAACUCUCCAGUUGUCAGACACCCAGUCUCCUUCUAAUCUGUUGCUCUGCCGUCCUCCAAAUGGGACGUCCAUCUUGUAAUCCAAGAGGCUGCCCUAGAUCCUGCCAUCACAUCCACAUGCCGGCCAAUGAGAAGGAGGAAAAGUGGAAGAGAAGAUACAUCCUCCACCUCUAAGGACACGUUCUGGAAGUUGCACACACCAUCUAUGCUUACAUCUCAUUGUCCAGAGCUUAGCCAUAUGCUGCAUCUAGCUUCAACACCAGCUGGUAAAUGUAGCUUCUA